CCUACGGGUGGCAGCAGUGAGGAAUUUUGGUCAAUGCACGCAAGUCUGAACCAGCCAUGCCGCGUGCAUGACGACGGCUCUAUGAGUUGUAAGCUCCUUUUGUACGAGGGUAAACGCAGAUACGCGUCUCUGUCUGAAAUUAUCGUACGUAUAAGAAUCGCCUAACUCCGUGCCAGCAGCCGCGGUACUACGGAGGAUUCAAGCGUUAUCCGGAUUUAUUGGGUUUAAAGGGUGCGUAGGCGGUCGGAUAAGUUAGAGGUGAAAUCCCGAGGCUCAACUUCGGAAUUGCCUGUGAUACUGUUCGGCUAGAGAGUAGUUGCGGUAGGCGGAAUGUAUGGUGUAGCGGUGAAAUGCUUAGAGAUCAUACAGAACACCGAUUGCGAAGGCAGCUUACCAAGCUACUUCUGACGUUGAGGCACGAAAGCGUGGGGAGCAAACAGGAUUAGAUACCCCUGUAGUC
rnacentral:rRNA from 1 species